UGGAGGAAAGCAGGGGAUCGCAAGACCUUGCGCUUUUGGAGUGGCCGAUGCCUGAUUAGCUAGUUGGUGGGGUAAGAGCCUACCAAGGCGACGAUCAGUAGCUGGUCUGAGAGGACGACCAGCCACACUGGGACUGAGACACGGCCCAGACUCCUACGGGAGGCAGCAGUGGGGAAUUUUGGACAAUGGGCGAAAGCCUGAUCCAGCAAUGCCGCGUGAGUGAAGAGGGCCUUCGGGUUGUAAAGCUCUUUCAGUCGAGAAGAAAAGGUCGCGACUAAUAAUCGCGACUCAUGACGGUAUCGACAGAAGAAGCACCGGCUAACUACGUGCCAGCAGCCGCGGUAAUACGUAGGGUGCGAGCGUUAAUCGGAAUUACUGGGCGUAAAGGGUGCGCAGGCGGCUUUGUAAGUCAGAUGUGA
rnacentral:rRNA from 1 species